rnacentral:rRNA from 1 species
AUACAGAGGGUGCAAGCGUUAUUCGGAAUUACUGGGCGUAAAGCGCGCGUAGGCGGAGGAUUAAGUCAGUUGUGAAAGCCCUGGGCUCAACCUAGGAACUGCAUCUGAUACUGGUCGUCUAGAGUUUAAGAGAGGGAAGUGGAAUUCCAGGUGUAGCAGUGAAAUGCGUAGAUAUCUGGAGGAACAUCAGUGGCGAAGGCGACUUGCUGGCUUAAAACUGACGCUGAGGUGCGAAAGCGUGGGUAGCGAACGGGAUUAGAUACCCUAGUAGUCC